AAUAACUCCAAGAGGGAUGAUCUUGAUUGAGUCAUCUGUAGAAGUGUUACUUUAGUCCUCUCUCUUUCUGCGAACUCCAAAUAAGAAACUUCUAACACCUUAAUAGAGAAGAGAAUAAUGGAGGAGAAGAAGUGAGCACAGAUCUCCACAACAAUGACGAGGAUUUGGGGAAGAAUACAGUAAUGAAAGCAACAGAGACAUUGUGGCCUCAUCUGGAGCCUUGACAACUACUUCCAAGAUGGACAGAAAUGUGAAAAUACAAGAAAUGACUGAAGGAGGACACAUUUGAGCACCAGCUGCAGGAUACAGUGUGCUGCAAAGACAUGUUUACUGCAUGUCUAUUGGAUGUCUUGUCCUUUUGAAAAUACUGCCAGUAUGGCAGCCUUCACACCCUGCUGAAAGCUAAUAGAUACCAGAGAGAACUGAUUUUUAUAUCUUUAAAUACUCUGCUACCAGGCAUUUGCUUCCUCUUUCGCCAAUUGUGCUGUUAUAUGUGGUUCUGUUUAAGAUAUAUUCAUUUAUAAUUUUUUUGCUAAUCUACUGCUUUCCACACAAUGAAAACAAUGUACUGGGUUUUAUUU